AACAUGAGAGAUGUUUGGAAAUGGAGGAAUGUUUUAUAAAAUUAAUAGGUGGAUAGAUAGAUAGAUAGAUAGAUAGAUAGAUAGAUAGAUAGAUAGAUAGAUAGAUAGAAAGAAAGAUAGAUAGAUAGAUAGAUAGAUAGAUAGAUAGAUAGAUAGAUAGAUAGAUAGUUUAUAUAUCCCCAAGGGUGCUCACCUGAGACCCAUAGACUGACAAAAUUCCCAUGCCAGCUUAGGAAACCUCCCUUUGAAUUGUUGGUUGGGGGAGCCCAGAGACUCUCAAAUCAAUACAGGCUUUUGCUUUUGCCCUUGGCUGUCCCUCAGAAUUUAAUCUAAAAGAUUUAUACAAUAGUGUCUAGAUUCUCUGUAAUCCAUUUUGAAAAUAAGCAACUGGAGAAAUGUUCCAUUAGGUACAGUGCUUGUUGUGCAAAGAGAUCCCCAGAAGCCUUGUAAAAAAAGCAAGAUAUAGCAAUGCCUCUGUGUAACCCAUUGCUGGGGACAAAUGUGUGAGUGAAGACAGACAGGUCUGGGAACUUCUGCUUGGCCAUCUGCCUGAAUCAAUGAACUCUAGGUUUCCAGGCUCCCUGUCUCAAAACAUAAUGUAGAGAGUAUCCAAGGCAAACACCAAAUGUCAACUCCUGUCACCAUACGCAUGUGAACAAGACACACACAUACCACACGAAAGCUUAUUUCCACCACACACACAACAGAAUAAAAUAAAACAAUGACGAUGGAAAAUGAACAUACAUGUUCUCGGGUUAAGACGUCAGUAGUGGGGUUGGGGAUUUAGCUCAGUGGUAGAGCACUUGCCUAGGAAGCGCAAGGCCCUGGGUUCGAUCCCCAGCUCCAAAAAAAAAGAACCAAAAAAAAAAAAAAAGACAUCAGUAGUCCCACAGACACUUAUACAUACUUCCCUCAUAACAAGACUGAGCACAGAUGUUAACAAGAUUGUCCCUUUGCUCUGUAUAGCUUUAUGACCUAUAAUAGUUUAAAUGUAUGUUAUUCAGUUGGCCUAUUGACAGCCUUAGUAUAAAUGGAAUUUUACUAUUUUUCCUGUAUAUACAUUCAGAUUCACUCACAAGGGAAGCAAACAGCUACGGUUUGCACAAUGUGAGGCUAUACUGUGAUAGGCUGAUGUUGACAUAGAUGUUCUUUACCACACUAGGGACAUGCUCUCCUAUUCCUUGUUUACCAAAAGAUAUUUAUCAUAAAGUCAUUUGAAUUUUAUCUUAUGCCUUUACACACACAACUUUUCCAUCUGGGGAAUUGCAUUACUUUGUAGCAGUAAACCAACAAUAGAUUCCCCAAGAUAAAAUCACAUUGGUCAUUUUAUACAUUGUUCACUAUUGGUAACUACAGUUCGUUCAGGAUGUUUGUUUUUGGUGAGAUUAGUGUGUGGUUUCCUCCCACUCCCCUUUCUUGAGGUGUUCCACUCAGAGUUUGAAAGCACGCAAUGGUUAGUUUCUAAUUGUCAACUUGACACAAUCUAGAAUCAUCUAUGGUCUUAACUAAGAAAUUGUCUGGAUAAGAUUGACCUGUAGGCAUGGCAGUGGGGGAUUGCCUUAAAUGUUCAAUUGUUGUGGCUAAGACCCAUCCCACUGUGGGCAGCACCAUUCCCUAGAAAGUGAAUUCUGACAUGUAUAAGAGCAGAGAGACAGAGCUAGCAGCAAGCAAGCAUGUGUGCAUUCAUUCCUUGUCUGUUUGAUUGCUGUUAUGAUGUGACUAGCUGCUGCAGUUUUUGUUUUGACUUCCUCACAAUGAUACAAUGGUGGACUGUAACCUGAACUUGCCAACACCCCUUUUCUUCUCCAAGUUCUUUUUCGUUAGUACAUUUUACAACAGCAACAGAAAUGAAGGUACACAACACUGUUUUCUGAAAGAAUUGGCAUGACAUUGUCUAAACCUGAAAUGUUACAUACUUAUAUAAAUCCAUUGAUUAUUAAAUUUUGAGGAUUUCUGGGGAUGAAAUCCAGGGCCUCACACAUGCUAGGCAAGAACUGUUCCACUGAGCUGUGUCCUUAGCCCAGAUCUUCAACUAUGGAAAGAUUUUAAAGCAACCAUUCAACUUUGUUCAUGGAUAUGAGAUUAUGAGUUUCCCUACAUAUUGUCUGCACAGUGAGGUCUGACAGGUAAUGUCUUUAUAUUUCUGUAUAUGCUUUCUACUUUAUGUUAGGUGGCAGUCCGGGAGUUAGACUUAGCUCAGGAGUGAGAAGUUUACCUGGAAAUCUCAGCUCCAACAUUUUCCAGCUAUAUAACCUUGGCUACUGGUGGUGUGUUGGCCCCAGAAACUUUAUCUGCAAAUGUGGUUAAAAACUUCCUAUCACUGUUAGAGGGUUUAGUGCAUAUUAAUUUAUAUCAAACUCAUAAGUAAUGAUCAGGCACCACUGCUAGUAUUUAUUGUCAAUUCUCUUUAAUUUUUGACUUGAUUGUUUAUCUGUUUCAAGUUUUCGGAAUGCAUUUGGGGGGGGUAGGGAAUAGUUUCUGGAUAAUUUGGUUACAACCUUAUGGUUUUGUUUAACAGCGGCCAGAGAAUAUGAAAGUGAUAUCAAUUUUUGACAAACUGUGAAGGCAUUUUUGGCCUAGCAUAUUCCUGGUUUUCAUAAACAUCUUAUUUAUACUUGGACGUGAGUUCUCCAAGAAUUAGGUUAGUAAAGAUGACAAUUCAGUUCUACACUCCGAGAAUAAUUUUAUCUGUUUAAUGUAAGGAAAGUAUGUGGCUACCGUUGAACAGGUGAAUAAUUUAGAUCUUCUGCCCACAAUGACUACUUUCUAAGUGUUUCCAAAAUUUUCUUAUGAGGUGCUUUAUUUUAGAAUUCAUAGAAAUUUUGUGCAGAUAGGGCAGCAGUUGUCAGAUACCUCACACCGACUUUCCUGUGGUGAACAAUUGACUUGGCCUCACUAGUGAGCCGAUGUGGAUAAAUUUGUGAGUUGAGGUCUAUGCCACUUUAGAUUGCUGGUGCUCCUUCCCCGUCUGAGGACCUCAUCUACAGUCAAGGUGACCCCCUAGUCUGUUCUAGUGCUUCCUGAUUUAGAUGACUCUGAGGACCGGUCAUGUGUUUUAGAGGGUAUCCCAGCUGCUAUUCAUCUGUUUUUGUUAUGCUUAAUUACUAUUAGGGUUUUUGAGUGGAGGAAGAAUAGACUGAGUGUACUGGCUAGUUUUAUGUUAAUUUGACACAGGCUAGAGUCAUCAGAGGAAGGACCCUCAAUUGAGAAAAUGCCUCCAUAAGAUCAGGCUGUAGGCAGGACUGUAGAAUAUUUUCUUAAUAUGUGAUUGAUGGAGAAGGGCCCAGGCCAUCAUGGGUGGGUGAUGGAUUCUAUAGGAAAGCAGGCUGGGCAAGCCAUGUGGAGCAAUCCAGUAAGCAGCAUCCCUCCGUGGCCUCUGCAUCAGCUCCUGCCUCCAGGCUCCUGCCCUGUGUGAGUUCCUGUCCUGGCUUCCUUCCAUAAUAAACAGAGAUGCUAAAGUGUAAGCCAGAUAAACCCUUUCCUCCCCAAGUUGCUUUUAGUCAUGGUGUUUCAUCACAGCAAUAGUAGCCUUAGCUAGGACACUGAGUGACAGUCUCAUCCUAUCAGAUUAAGUUCCUAUCAUCAACAUGACAGAACCCUGUAGAUGUCAGUUUUGCUUACUCGGUGGUAUGUUGAUUCGUGUAAUCACUAUAAUUUUAUUUUUCAAGGACUUAUUUUUAAUCACUUUAAACUAUGCGUCUCUGUGGGCAUGGGCACAUGAGAACAGGUGCCCAUGGAGGCCAGAAGCAUCAGAUUCCCUGGAGCUGCAGUUAUAGACAGUUGUGAGCCACCUGAUAUGGGUGCUGGGAAUUGAACCCAGGUCCUCUGGAAGAGCAGUAUAUGCUUUAACAUCUCUCCAGCCUCUGUGAUUUUUAUUUCAUUCUAAUAUCAUAAUAUUAUGAUACAGAAAAUUAACGUCUACACGAAUAGCAGGUAUGCCCUUGCCACAGCCCACGUCCAUGGUACUAUAUACCAAGAGAGAGGACUGCUCACAUCAGAGGGAAAAGAAAAAAAAAAAAACAGGAAAUCUUGGAUCUCUUGGAUGCCCUGAUGAACCCAGCAACUAUGAAGAUGUAGAACUCUCAGCUCCUCCUGAACCAUGCCUGCCUAGAUACUGCUAUGGUCCCACCUUGAUGACACUGGACUGAAUCUCUGACUCCUGCAGAUGAAGAUGUAGAACUCGAACUCUCAGCUCUCCUGCACCAUGCCUGCCCGGACUCUGCUAUGCUCCCUCCUUGAUGAUAAUGGACUGAACCUCUGAACCUAUGAUGGGCUUCACAAAAUUGCCCGUUGCCCUCAGGCCUUCUGAUUCAGGCCUCAACAGGGAGGACCACCCAGGUAAAAUGUGACACCAGGGGCUUUAUGCCAUAGCAAAAAGUCCUGGUUGCAGUGACAAUCACCCAGAACACGUGUAGACCCUUAAAGUCCUUGGGUAUAACCCAACUAAGAUUGCUCAGUCUCCAGACAUGAGGCCCAGACACACUCUGUUUGAGCUCACCAUGUCACCAGGAUGCUACUCACCACCCUGACACUCUGCAGUGUCGUGCUAGGAUACGAGUUCUCAGUUUGUUCACAGCACUGGCCUGUGCUUGGCACUCAGGCUGGGUGUGGGGCAGAAGGGGUGCACUGUAUUACAGCGCAAAAGCAAAACAGACGACCACCAAAUUCACAAAAGCAGUUUUUAUUUGAGGCAAAAAGUCUGACCCCCAUAGGACUGGAGUUCUAAGCACUCAAAUUUAAGUGUUAGUGGCAUGACUUGGGCUAUAAAUCUUGCUUUCUCUUUGGUUGGAAAAGGUACUCGUGUUAAAGUCCUCCAGGUGGGAAGAAGACCAAGAAAGGCCGAAGAAACUCCUCAGCUACUGGUACUGCCCUCCACAUUCUACGUCAAACUAACAAACUCUCACCAUCUGGUCUGCAAGGUGCCACCCAGUGCAGAGGGACACUUGCAAGGGCAGAUGAGGCAGAAAGAACAUGUGUUAAGUCGCUUGGGGAGGAGCAGGAUUCGUCCACCACAGCUUCAGACUUCUGCGUGGAAGGGGUAAUCCUUGUGUUUGGCACAGCUGUCAGAAAAGAAUACAUGCAAUUUACAAGUUAAAGACUUCCUAAAAUUAAUUGGGUUCACUUAUUUAUUUAGUGUGAGUUGCUUCUCUCCUAUCGUGUGGGUCCUGGAUAAACUCUGUUUAUCCUCAGGAUUGAUCCAAAUGUCUGAACACUCUGCACCACCUUGCCAGCUCUCAAGGAAAAAGAUUCUGUCUGUAACGAACGAGUCACCAACACAGAGAAACGGAGUCUCACUGUGGACUGAGCAGUCUUAGAGCCUUCUGAUCUUAGGUACAGCUACUCAGGCUCUGAGCUCCUCUUGUCUUGUGAUGUCAGGAACUGCAUCAUGUGACAGGCUGCACUAAGCCCUAGCCUGGAGCACACUGGGCAGCAAGUCCUGCGUGGGAACUCUGAGGAGCUGGCAGGAUCAUACAGCCUCAUGUCAACUUUCUGCUGUCUUUUAAGACAGGGUCUGGUGAGGCGGGGCUGGCCUCAAACACACUGCUUAGCUGAGGAUGACCUUGAAGUUCAGGUCUUUCUGACUCCAACUCCCAAGUGCUGGGAUUACAGGCGUGUGGCACUACACCCAGUUCAUUUUAUCAGCUCCUGAACACAGGACCAAAAGAACAGAGAUAACAAAGCAGUAGAAGGGUUUACGAGCUGUACCUCACUGAACCCUGAAGGGCAAGUCAAACAGCCAGCCACUCACAGGAAAGGAGAGGCCCCUCUGUGACAUCUGGAGUGAAAUGAGCACCUAACAGCAGCUGGGGAUGUACUGCAGGAACAGGGCAAGGGCUGGCAUGGAGCCAAGGUUCACAGUCUAUUUGGUAGGGCCAAUGGCUUAUAAUGGGAACAAAAUGGCAAGAACACUAGAGAAACUAGGCAGGCACAGUGUCAAAGCCUGAACACGUGUGUGUGUGUGUGUGUGUGUGUGUGUGUGUGUGUGUGUGUGUGUGUGUGUGUGUGUGUGUGUGCGCGUGCGCGCACAUGUUGGAAUCAAAGGACAACUAGUGUGACACACACACACUCACAUUAAAAAAAAAUCCAGUUAAUUCUGCAAUAAAAAAUCAGAGACAAUACCAUGAAGUCCCAGACAGCUCCUGCUCUUUGGAGAAGAGCAGGAAGGUAAAUCAAAUAUAAGAAAGGUCAUUUCUUUCUUAAUCAAAUCAAACUAAGAAAGGUUGCGCUACUCCUCAGAAGAUGAGUAUGUUUUCGUCUGAGGUUGUGCUUCUCUUCUAGAAUCCAAGCAAAAGUGCACUGCUCGUUUCUUUCCACACCCCAGAGGAUGAGGAUGAGCCAGGCCCCGGGUAUGCAGCUCUCACUGAACACUCAGAUCACUCAAGCUCCCCCGCAACUGCCUUUCUUCGCAUCCUGGACUCAGACACCAGCAGCAAGAGCUCAGUAUAGCCGUGUGUGUCCACAGGAGGGCUGGCAUGUUAGGAAAGGUUUGCUGGGAGCACUAGAGCCCGCCCCUGCCCCAACCCCAACUGCAACCCAUGUCAACUCAGUACUGUCCAAGCACAGCUGCUUCUAGAAUAGUCAUGGAAGGUGCAAGGAGGUGAGCAGACACAAAGGGUUUGCUCUCCCCACAAGCUUUGAUGUCAGCAUCAGCAGUACCAGGGAACUCGCAGGGCUGAGUGACUUAACUACUACAGGCUCUAGGAACCGGAUGGAUGCUACAGGCAGGUGAUUCGCUUCUCUCCUGUCCGUUAGAUCCAAAGUAAAAGAUGAUUUUCACAUUAAAAGGUUAAACGUCCUUAGUGUAAUAUCAGAAAGGGUCCUGUUUCAGAGUCCUGGGCUAGUUCUGUUUACAGCUUACUUAGAACCUGAGGACUCUGUGAUGGCAACAUGUAAAAAGCCCGAAUCACAAACCUUACUGCCUAUAGAGACCGUAGAGGUUGCGGCCACCACCAGGCAAACACCGAGUUAUGCAGAUGGCGAGUGAAAGCAAGAGAGUGUGAGUGAGAAUCAAGACAGGAAGACAAAGCAGGCAUUGGGGACACAGGCUGCUUCUUAAAGCAAACUCAUCCCCAGGGAUUCGGAGUCCAAACCCCAUUUCAGAGGGAAGCAAAAAACCAGCAGAGGUGAAGCUGAAGGGCCCUGGGUGCCCGAGUGGCAUUAAGCCAUCUGAGUGGCAUUACAGCCAUCUGAGUGGCAUUACAGCCAUCUGAGUGGCAUUACAGUCACAGGGUGUUUUGUGCCAGAGCUGGGGCUACCCUGAGCCCAGCACCAGGGUCUUCCUACCAAACUCCUCGUUAGCGUCAUUAAGUCAAUCGGUCACAUGCAAACUCUUCUAGGAAGGUGGGUACCAGAGAAGCCCCUGGGACCAUCUGAGUUCAGAAAAGCCAAAGUGGACCAACUGUGCUCCCAGGCAGGUCUCCUGACAGCCACCCUCCCCUGGCUUUGUGCAGUGCCUCCGGGUCUGUAUAGAUUAGGAGACAAGGUCUGUGUGAAAGCAGGGCGGGCUGCAGGGGAAGGACCCUGCCUCUGGGGCCUGAGAGAUGCCUGUUAGUCUAAACAUUUGGUGACAUAGAAUAGGUAGAACAGGCACCACACUGGAACUCACCUCAUCAAGGCGCACACCCUCCAGUUCCUGUUGUAGCUGAGUAGAGUGGCCAUGUCCUCAUUGCUCAGCUCAAAGUCAAAGACCUUACAUACAAACAUGGAGGAAAGAAACAAAGUCAAUAAGCUCACAAUAAAACAGAGACAAAGCAGGAAGUUCCAGAUGGCCCUCACUGCCUGGAGUGCAGAGGGCAGGAGAGGACAUGGGACUUCAAGAAGACUGGUAAUUAUGCUCCAGAAGGUGCAGGCUUGUGGCCCUAUCUGAAAUGGCCUCUCCCUUCCAGGAUUUCCAAGCAGAGGGCACUGUUCAGUCAUUCCUGUCAGGCUCCUGAGCCGCUCUACUGUGAUAAGCACCAGGGGAAAUGUUACUGAGUGUCCUGACUGCUCCAUUCACCAGAAGUGUAAGAGGAGACGCCUCAAUAGCUGGAACACCCAUUAAUCCGGGUUCUGGGUUCUGCGCUGUGAUGAAAGAAAGGCUCUGGGCUGUCCCCAGCAAGGCACUCCAGCUGGGGACCGAAGGACAAUGCCUCGCGGAUCCAUGUGUGACAAGGCCUAAGAAAAUAUGUCAGGUUUUGACAUACAGAGCAAGAAAGGCUUCCACGAAGACAAAAGAAUGAAUACAGGAAUAUGUAACAGACCCUAGCACACUGACUCCAUGAUGGAAGGAAGUACCAUUCAAGUCAUAAAACUCAGCAGGUACACAACACCGUCAGCCAAAUCAAAGACCAAGCAAAACACCCAGCGAAGGUGAAGCUGAAGGAUGCAUUACAGUCAUGGGGUGUUUUGUGCCAGACCUGGGGCUACCCUGCUGUUAAAUUUCAAUCCCAGGGCAAGCGUCUAAGGUGCCUAUUUAAGGUAGCUAAGCAGACCUGGCCUCCAGGUUCAAUACCCUUCAGUCCCUACCAAUUACAGGGUGUGGCGGGCACACCCACCUUCUACUCAGCUCUCCAGCCCCUCCCCUAUACAGCCCGACGGUUCCCUUACUACCCACUUCGCUCCUUUUGUACCUUUGGCUUCCUGGCUGUUGUACUUGGUCCCCCUCACCCCAACCCCCCGGUUCAGGAGCAGUCAUGUCCUUUCCUUUCUAAUUUUUUUGUUUGUUUUUAUUUUUAAUUCACAUCAAUGUCCAUAGUUCUGGAAAAGUCUCUACAUGUGCUAGCCUCGCCUUCUGGCUUCUGCAGUUCUACCUCUGGCUAAUUGUUCUUGUUAACUGAGGUGUAUCACACCCAAGAUGUGAUUGUGUGCUUAAACCCUGAGAAAGGCUUGGGAUCCCAAACACCCAGUGUAGUCACAGGCUGGCUAAUAAAGACUUUCUACUUGUUUAAA